UACGGAGGGGCUAGCGUUGUCCGAAUUUAUUGGGCGUAAAGAGCGUGUAGGCGGCCUGGAAGGUCAGCUGUGAAAACUCGAGGCUCAACCUCGAGACGUCGGUUGAAACCACCUGGCUAGAGUCCGGAAGAGGAGUGUGGAAUUCCCGGUGUAGCGGUGAAAUGCGCAGAUAUCGGGAAGAACACCCGUGGCGAAGGCGGCUCUCUGGGACGGUACUGACGCUGAGACGCGAAAGCGUGGGGAGCGAACAGG
rnacentral:rRNA from 1 species